rnacentral:hammerhead_ribozyme from 1 species
AUCCAACUGACGAGUCUCAAAUAGGACGAAACGUGCGUCAUGGAU